GGUGUGACUGCGUACCUUUUGUAUAAUGGGUCAGCGACUUAUAUUCUGUAGCAAGGUUAACCGUAUAGGGGAGCCGCAGGGAAACCGAGUCUUAACUGGGCGUUAAGUUGCAGGGUAUAGACCCGAAACCCGGUGAUCUAGCCAUGGGCAGGUUGAAGGUUGGGUAACACUAACUGGAGGACCGAACCGACUAAUGUUGAAAAAUUAGCGGAUGACUUGUGGCUGGGGGUGAAAGGCCAAUCAAACCGGGAGAUAGCUGGUUCUCCCCGAAAGCUAUUUAGGUAGCGCCUCGUGAAUUCAUCUUCGGGGGUAGAGCACUGUUUCGGCUAGGGGGUCAUCCCGACUUACCAACCCGAUGCAAACUACGAAUACCGAAGAAUGUUAUCACGGGAGACACACGGCGGGUGCUAACGUCCGUCGUGAAGAGGGAAACAACCCAGACCGCCAGCUAAGGUCCCAAAGUCAUGGUUAAGUGGGAAACGAUGUGGGAAGGCACAGACAGCCAGGAUGUUGGCUUAGAAGCAGCCAUCAUUUAAAGAAAGCGUAAUAGCUCACUGGUCGAGUCGGCCUGCGCGGAAGAUGUAACGGGGCUAAACCAUGCACCGAAGCUGCGGCAGCGACACUAUGUGUUGUUGGGUAGGGGAGCGUUCUGUAAGCCUGCGAAGGUGACCUGUGAGGGUUGCUGGAGGUAUCAGAAGUGCGAAUGCUGACAUAAGUAACGAUAAAGCGGGUGAAAAGCCCGCUCGCCGGAAGACCAAGGGUUCCUGUCCAACGUUAAUCGGGGCAGGGUGAGUCGACCCCUAAGGCGAGGCCGAAAGGCGUAGUCGAUGGGAAACAGGUUAAUAUUCCUGUACUUGGUGUUACUGCGAAGGGGGGACGGAGAAGGCUAUGUUAGCCGGGCGACGGUUGUCCCGGUUUAAGCAUGUAGGCUG
rnacentral:rRNA from 1 species